rnacentral:rRNA from 1 species
GACGAACGCUGGCGGCGUGCUUAACACAUGCAAGUCGAACGGAAAGGCCCUGCUUUUGUGGGGUGCUCGAGUGGCGAACGGGUGAGUAACACGUGAGUAACCUGCCCUUGACUUUGGGAUAACUUCAGGAAACUGGGGCUAAUACCGGAUAGGAGCUCCUGCUGCAUGGUGGGGGUUGGAAAGUUUCGGCGGUUGGGGAUGGACUCGCGGCUUAUCAGCUUGUUGGUGGGGUAGUGGCUUACCAAGGCUUUGACGGGUAGCCGGCCUGAGAGGGUGACCGGCCACAUUGGGACUGAGAUACGGCCCAGACUCCUACGGGAGGCAGCAGUGGGGAAUAUUGCACAAUGGGCGGAAGCCGGAUGCAGCAACGCCGCGUGCGGGAUGACGGCCUUCGCGUUGUAAACCGCUUUGGCCUGUGACGAAGCGUGAGUGACGGUAAUGGGUAAAGAAGCACCGGCUAACUACGUG